CUUCUAAUGUUUGUUACUGGAAAACCAAGAAGAUUGGUAAGAUUCAUUGAAGAAGAAGCAUAUAGUAAUAGUGUACUCUUGUUUGGAAAGAGAAAAACUGUAUAAUCAGCUGGAAAAACCAAAAACAUGUCACAAGCGCAUGGAAGAAGAAACUAAAUAUCCAGAUAAAUGAGGUGGAGAAAUUUGGGAAAGGGAACUUUUCAUUCCACGUUAGAUGUCUGAAGUAUUUGUGUCAGACCAAUUAAUCUUUCACGGUUCUUCAAGUGCUGUCUGUUGAAAAUCUAGAAUAUCUUUUUUGUACAGCUAUAAAUUCUAUGUAUAUCCCAUGAUUUCUACUCUAUUUUAGGAUAGAAUAAUUUACUCCUAAUGUAUUUUAGGAUAGAAUAAAUUAGCUCCUCAUUUCUAGGAGAUUACAGAUUUCAUAAAAUUAACAAAAGUCAAAUUCCAUUUGUAUAAAUGUUGUACAGAGUCUAGAACAAAAUAGAACAAUUCAGUUUUCUUUUUGUUCAUGGUAUCAGAGCUUUUGCUCUUGGAACCUCUUCUUGUCAGCCUUCAAAGCUGAGUGCUUUCUUCUUUUCAAGUCUUUAUUGCCAAA